rnacentral:rRNA from 1 species
UGAGAGCGGCGGACGGGUGAGUAAUGCCUAGGAAUCUGCCUGGUAGUGGGGGAUAACGUUCGGAAACGGACGCUAAUACCGCAUACGUCCUACGGGAGAAAGCAGGGGACCUUCGGGCCUUGCGCUAUCAGAUGAGCCUAGGUCGGAUUAGCUAGUUGGUGAGGUAAUGGCUCACCAAGGCGACGAUCCGUAACUGGUCUGAGAGGAUGAUCAGUCACACUGGAACUGAGACACGGUCCAGACUCCUACGGGAGGCAGCAGUGGGGAAUAUUGGACAAUGGGCGAAAGCCUGAUCCAGCCAUGCCGCGUGUGUGAAGAAGGUCUUCGGAUUGUAAAGCACUUUAAGUUGGGAGGAAGAGCAGUUACCUAAUACGUGAUUGUUUUGACGUUACCGACAGAAUAAGCACCGGCUAACUCUGUGCCAGCAGCCGCGGUAAUACAGAGGGUGCAAGCGUUAAUCGGAAUUACUGGGCGUAAAGCGCGCGUAGGUGGUUAGUUAAGUUG